rnacentral:rRNA from 1 species
GACUGCCGGUGUUAAACCGGAGGAAGGUGGGGAGUGACGUCAAGUCCUCAUGGCCUUUAUGCUUAGGGCUACACACGUGCUACAAUGGGUGGUACAAAGAGAAGCCAACUCGCGAGAGCGCGCCAAUCUCAAAAAGCCAUCCUCAGUUCGGAUUGGAGUCUGCAACUCGACUCCAUGAAGUUGGAAUCGCCAGUAAUCGCGGAUCAGCAUGCCGCGGUGAAUACGUUCCCGGGCCUU